UACGAAGGGGGCUAGCGUUGCUCGGAAUGACUGGGCGUAAAGGGCUCGUAGGCGGUUUGUCGCGUCGGGAGUGAAAACGCCGGGCUUAACUCGGUGCUUGCUUUCGAUACGGGCAGACUAGAGGUAUGCAGGGGAGAACGGAAUUCCUGGUGUAGCGGUGAAAUGCGCAGAUAUCAGGAGGAACACCGGUGGCGAAGGCGGUUCUCUGGGCAUUACCUGACGCUGAGGAGCGAAAGUGUGGGGAGCGAACAGG
rnacentral:rRNA from 1 species